rnacentral:rRNA from 1 species
CAGUCGCCGCGGUAAUACAGAGGGUGCGAGCGUUAAUCGGAAUUACUGGGCGUAAAGCGUACGCAGGCGGUUUGUUAAGUCAGAUGUGAAAUCCCCGAGCUUAACUCGGGAACUGCAUUUGAAACUGGCAGGCUAGAGUCUCGUAGAGGGGGGUAGAAUUCCAGGUGUAGCGGUGAAAUGCGUAGAGAUCUGGAGGAAUACCGGUGGCGAAGGCGGCCCCCUGGACGAAGACUGACGCUCAGGUACGAAAGCGUGGGGAGCAAACAGGAUUAGAUACCCCUGUAGUCCCUGUCUCUUAUAC